rnacentral:rRNA from 1 species
GACGAACGCUGGCGGCGUGCUUAACACAUGCAAGUCGAACGGAAAGGCCCUGCGUUUGUGCGGUGCUCGAGUGGCGAACGGGGGAGUAACACGUGUGUAACCUGCCCUUGAUUUUGGGGGAACUUCAGGAAACUGGAGCUAAUAUCGGACAGGAGCUCCUGCUGCGUGGUGGGGGUGGGAAAGUUUCGGCGUUUGGGGAUGGACGAGCGGCUAAUCAGCUUGUUGGUUGGGUAGUGGCUUACCAACGCUUUGACGGAUCGCCGGCCUGGGAGGGUGACCGGGCACAUUGGGCCUGAGAUAGGGCCCAGAGUGGUACGGGAGGCAGCGGUGGGAAACAUUGCACAAUGGGCCGAAGCAUGAUGCAGCAACGUCGGGUGCGGAAUGACGGUUUUCGGGUAAUAAACAGCUUUAGCCUGUGACGACGCGUGAGUGACGGUACCGGAUAAAGAAGCACCGGCUAACUACGUG